rnacentral:rRNA from 1 species
GUUGAACGCUGGCGGCAGGCUUAACACAUGCAAGUCGAGCGGAGAUGAGGUGCUUGCACCUUAUCUUAGCGGCGGACGGGUGAGUAAUGCUUAGGAAUCUGCCUAUUAGUGGGGGACAACAUUCCGAAAGGAAUGCUAAUACCGCAUACGUCCUACGGGAGAAAGCAGGGGAUCUUCGGACCUUGCGCUAAUAGAUGAGCCUAAGUCGGAUUAGCUAGUUGGUGGGGUAAAGGCCUACCAAGGCGACGAUCUGUAGCGGGUCUGAGAGGAUGAUCCGCCACACUGGGACUGAGACACGGCCCAGACUCCUACGGGAGGCAGCAGUGGGGAAUAUUGGACAAUGGGGGGAACCCUGAUCUAGCCAUGCCGCGUGUGUGAAGAAGGCCUUAUGGUUGUAAAGCACUUUAAGCGAGGAGGAGGCUACUGAGACUAAUACUCUUGGAUAGUGGACGUUACUCGCAGAAUAAGGACCGGCUAACUACGUGCCAGCCGCCGCCGUAA